rnacentral:rRNA from 1 species
GACGAACGCUGGCGGCGUGCUUAACACAUGCAAGUCGAACGGUGAAGCGCCUUCCUUUUUGGUGGGUGUGGAUGAGUGGCGAACGGGUGAGUAACACGUGAGUAACCUGCCCCCUUCUUCUGGAUAACCGCAUGAAAGUGUGGCUAAUACGGGAUAUUCUGGGUCUGUCGCAUGAUGGGUCUGGGAAAGAUAUUGUUUCGGUGGGGGAUGGGCUCGCGGCCUAUCAGCUUGUUGGUGGGGUGAUGGCCUACCAAGGCGGUGACGGGUAGCCGGCCUGGGAGGGUGGACGGUCACACUGGGACUGAGACACGGCCCAGACUCCUACGGGAGGCAGCAGUGGGGAAUAUUGCACAGUGGGCGCAAGCCUGAUGCAGCGACGCCGCGUGAGGGAUGGAGGCCUUCGGGUUGUGAACCUCUUUCGCCAGUGAAGCAGGCCUGCCUCGUUUGUGGGUGGGUUGACGGUAGCUGGAGAAGAAGCGCCGGCUAACUACGUG